GAAGAGGGAGAGGAGAGGCGUAAGCUGUCAGCACACAUCAAAAAGUGCGGAGUCUGACUGCUCAUUACAAGGACAAACAUGCAAAGAAAAGCAUGCAUUCGCAAUGGCUUGUUUUUAUAUAAAGAAACACUAACAGAAGCUCAAGAACGAUCAGAACUGUGCACUGGGGGUGGCUGGAGUAAGUGCUGCCAUCUUGCUGUCCUGUAGGCAACGGGGACAAGUUCCACAUCCCAUAGAGUGUUGCCCAGAGCUCUACCCUCGUGGUGGUCCCACUCAGGGGUGGUGAGGAGGGGGACGGAGCCUGGCGGUGCAACAGCCUGAGGCCUGAGAUGGUGUUCGCUGUGCGGCCACGAUCUGCUCCCAUUGGCCAGGUAACGAGGAGAAACCACCGUCUCCUUCCACAGGUAACUGGCCGCCACUGCCCAGUCAGCCCCCCAUGAGGUCCAGCCCGAGGUGGGCAGCACUUUGUGCUCGGGGCCUGUCCAGCAGGGAGCCUGCCUUGAUCUCUGCAAUCAGGAAUGUGGCUGAGCAAAUGCAGCUUGUACCUGCUGGAUGGAUACACCUCCCAGAUGCUCUGUUGCUAGAAGGUUCCUGGCAGUGCAGGGAAAGGUGGCUCUGCAGGUGGAGGCUCCACAUAAUGGGCUCAAAACAUCUGGUCCAGUGGUUAAAAGCUGUUCACAGGGGUGAUUGGACCCCACUAAGCAUUCUUUCGUCUGUAGUGAAUAUUUCACCAAAAACAGCUCUAGGAAAGGCUGGAGGAUCAGUACUAUGUGCUCAAGCCAUGGCCACGCCCUCCAUCUUCCACCUGACCGAGAAGUGGGGGCUGAAGGCCACGGCCGCCCCAGGAGAAAGGACACUAGGAAGGCCACCGGGGGGCCUGAGGAACAUGCGCGUGAAGCAGAUGGGAAAGGAGUUUCAGGUUUAUUGUGGUCCUUGAGGGAAAAGCUGAGGGCCCAGCCGUGGUCCCGCAAGUGGAAGUAACCCGCUCUGCAGGGUGAACACGCACCCAGUGCUGCCCAGGAAGCUGCCAGUCAGGAUUGGGCGCAGUCUCUGGAAGGAACUCCAGGAGACAGUGUGGCCUCCACAGCAUUAGGCAGCCAAGGAGAUGCAAACACGUCUGCUGUAGAUGCUGGUGAUGAGACCCCCUCUUCCCAGCCAAGGCCUGCUGGGUAAGAGUGGCAUUUCCGUGGAUGAGUUUAUCCCUCAGGAUCGGGGCAUGCAGAUUUAUUGGCUGGCUUCCUUCUUACAGUUUCUUCUCAGAGCACACUCAAGAGAGGCCAUCUGUCCCUUGAGAGGCUGUUGACCAAAAGAGGCUGAAGAAGGAUGUGGAGCCCAGCUACAGCGGGACCAGCCUGGGGCCUGAUGAGAGCUUGGCCCAGAACCCCCAAGCUCAUCAUUCACAAUGAUGCCUCAGAAACCCUCCCAGA